rnacentral:rRNA from 1 species
GAUGAACGCUGGCGGCGUGCCUAAUACAUGCAAGUCGAGCGAACAGAUAAGGAGCUUGCUCCUUUGACGUUAGCGGCGGACGGGUGAGUAACACGUGGGUAACCUACCUAUAAGACUGGGAUAACUUCGGGAAACCGGAGCUAAUACCGGAUAACAUUUGGAACCGCAUGGUUCUAAAGUGAAAGAUGGUUUUGCUAUCACUUAUAGAUGGACCCGCGCCGUAUUAGCUAGUUGGUAAGGUAACGGCUUACCAAGGCGACGAUACGUAGCCGACCUGAGAGGGUGAUCGGCCACACUGGAACUGAGACACGGUCCAGACUCCUACGGGAGGCAGCAGUAGGGAACCUUCCGCAAUGGGCGAAAGCCUGACGGAGCAACGCCGCGUGAGUGAUGAAGGGUUUCGGCUCGUAAAACUCUGUUAUUAGGGAAGAACAAAUGUGUAAGUAACUGUGCACGUCUUGACGGUACCUAAUCAGAAAGCCACGGCUAACUACGUG